rnacentral:rRNA from 1 species
GACGAACGCUGGCGGCGUGCUUAACACAUGCAAGUCGAACGGAAAGGCCCUGCUUUUGUGGGGUGCUCGAGUGGCGAACGGGUGAGUAACACGUGAGUAACCUGCCCUUGACUUUGGGAUAACUUCAGGAAACUGGGGCUAAUACCGGAUAGGAGCUCCUGCUGCAUGGUGGGGGUUGGAAAGUUUCGGCGGGUGGGGAUGGACUCGCGGCUUAUCAGCUUGUUGGUGGGGUAGUGGCUUACCAAGGCUUUGACGGGUAGCCGGCCUGAGAGGGUGACCGGCCACAUUGGGACUGAGAUACGGCCCAGACUCCUACGGGAGGCAGCAGUGGGGAAUAUUGCACAAUGGGCGGAAGCCUGAUGCAGCAACGCCGCGUGCGGGAUGACGGCCUUCGGGUUGUAAACCGCCUUCGCCUGUGACGAAGCGUGAGUGACGGUAAUGGGUAAAGAAGCACCGGCUAACUACGUG